UUGGUGCACUUUGGUAGUAAGGGGGUGUUUGGUUCAAGUUAUAUAAUAUAACUAAGGUUAUAUUUACUUGGGGAAUAUAAGAUUUUCAGGUUUAGUUCAGGUUAUGUAAUUUUUUCA